UACGUAGGGCGCGAGCGUUGUCCGGAAUUAUUGGGCGUAAAGAGCUCGUAGGUGGUUGGUCGCGUCUGCCGUGAAAACCCAUGGCUUAACUGUGGGCUUGCGGUGGAUACGGGCCGACUUGAGGUAGGUAGGGGAGAAUGGAAUUCCCGGUGUAGCGGUGAAAUGCGCAGAUAUCGGGAGGAACACCGGUGGCGAAGGCGGUUCUCUGGGCCUUACCUGACGCUGAGGAGCGAAAGCGUGGGGAGCGAACAGG
rnacentral:rRNA from 1 species